rnacentral:rRNA from 1 species
CCUACGGGGGGCAGCAGUGGGGAAUAUUGGACAAUGGGCGAAAGCCUGAUCCAGCCAUGCCGCGUGUGUGAAGAAGGCCUUCGGGUUGUAAAGCACUUUCAGUGGGGAAGAAAGCCUUGGGGCUAAUACCCUCGAGGAAGGACAUCACCCACAGAAGAAGCACCGGCUAACUCCGUGCCAGCAGCCGCGGUAAUACGGAGGGUGCGAGCGUUAAUCGGAAUUACUGGGCGUAAAGCGCGCGUAGGCGGUCUGAUAAGCCGGUUGUGAAAGCCCCGGGCUCAACCUGGGAACGGCAUCCGGAACUGUCAGGCUAGAGUGCAGGAGAGGAAGGUAGAAUUCCCGGUGUAGCGAUGAAAUGCGUAGAGAUCGGGAGGAAUACCAGUGGCGAAGGCGGCCUUCUGGACUGACACUGACGCUGAGGUGCGAAAGCGUGGGUAGCAAACAGGAUUAGAUACCCGUGUAGUC